UCUCCGUGUAUCAUCAACGUGAAAACAAGCGCAGUAUUUAAGGUUGGUAUACUACAAUGCAUUACAGUUAUCGUGUUAUUUUAUAGUCAAAUUUCCGCUUUGUUGUUUUUAUUCUUGUACUGUAAUUUUAUAAAUACACUGUACAAAAUUAUGGCGUCAUACUUGUGUUUAUAAUGCCUCUACUCUAGUUUGACCCUAUUGUGUUCGCAGGCUACUAUUGUGUGUGUAUAUGUACUGUGUCACUGUGAUAGAUAUGUACAUGUUUUGAGUUAAACGAAUUGUUUAAUAAAUUUUUGCUGAAGUAUGAUGCCUGUUUGUAUUGGAUAGAUUUUAAAUAUAUGUGCAUUAGUGCAUACAGUAUAGUUACAUUGGUUCUCAGAUGAGUCUGAAGGUAUAUUGUUAUUCAGUAAUUUGUAUGUAUUGUUUUAUAAAUUUUUGCUGAGUAUGAUGCCUGUUUGUAUCUAGUUGUGAGAAUAUAAUUUUAGAUGUUACAUGUUUGCUAAUUUUAGAGAUGAUAAUGUAUCAAAUAAUAAUUUUCUUGUUAUGAUUUUGUAGAAAGAGAUUACUUGAGUGGUUGGCUGAUCUUGAGCCUAUUCAGGAUGGAUAUGAUAAUGAAAGAGGUGACAUGGCAUCAAGUGAUGACGUUUAAGUGAGAAGAUGAAAGUGAUGAGGAAGAAACCGCCCACGCUGUACCAUUCAAGCGCAUCAGUGCUGCUCGUGAGAAAAACUACCAACAUCAUUUGGAAAAUUAAAUUAAGGCACAAUACCUCACUCUUCAUGAACAAGAUAAAAUAGUCAAUGUAAGAAUAUGGCCAGCACCAUUGAAUCCAAGGGACCCAAGUGCAAUAGGCAAUUCCAGCUUUUAGUUUAUUUUAUUAAAAUUUUUCAGCAUAAUCAGCUAUAUGAUACAUUACUUCCUACCGCCCCUGCACACAUAAAUUAAAAGCUGGAAUUGCCUAUUGACUAGACUAUGGAACUGGAUGGACAACAUGUUGGUUAUAUUGCUUUUGAACUAUGCAAGUAUUUGCACCCACUAAUUGCUGCAGAUGUUGCGGAUGUCUGGUGGAAACAUUUCUAGUGGGGGUGCAAGCAGCACCACUGAGUGAGCUUUUUACAGGGGUUAGGAAUUAGGGUUAAAGACUUUUGAAGCAAAAUUUUGGUGGGGUUAAACACUUUAUAAGAGGGGUUAGAGAGAUUCUAAGCGGGGGGGGGGGGUAACCCCUCCUAACCCCCCCUCCCCCAGCAAAUCCGCCCAUGAUUUAAUCCAAACAUUUUCAUAACGAAACCUGGUGAGUGGAGACUCAAGUGGUAGGAAAAAGCAUGAGUGUAUGUUGACAGAUGUGUUUUAUAUAAUAAAUAGCAACUAGCUAUGUUUAGCAAGUUAUUAGUGCAUUUAUUUCAAUUGGC